UCUGGCGCUCACACUGUCCAUGGAGUGAUCUGAGCGGUGCAGGUAGGGCUGAGGGGCAUUUCAGAUGAACAGGGUGGGCCCGUCAGGUUGGGGGGGGGGGGGGGAAGAACACGGACUCCCGAGUGUGCAAGCCUAGUUUUAAAUCUUGGUCUCCCCCAUUUCCAAUGAGACAUCAGGCCGGUUCCUGACCAUCUCUGAGCCUCAUCUAUAAAAGGCUUGUGGGGAGGUUGAAAUGACCUACAGCGCGUGUGCAGUAUCUGGCAGAGUUCAGGAAUCCCCCAAGCGUUAGCUCCAACCCCAGAGAUGCCAACUGAGACUCACCCGAGGCCUUUGUCCGUGUCCCUCCACGACGUGACCCUUACCACCUGCCCAUGGCCCACCCAGCUCCCCACCAUUAUUUUUCUGAGGUAAUUGGCCACAGAUGUGUUAGAGGAAAACGGAAGAAGGAAGGCAGCCAGGAGGAUUCAUUCCUAGGGCAUCUGGAUAGAGAUCAGAUCUCCUCCUCCGUCCAUAUCAUGCAGCCUCCAUUUAGAUAUGAAGGGGUGGGAUUGGGUUCCUGGGGAGAAAUUGAGCCUCUUCGCUUCUGCUGGGUCUAAAUCGAGCAGUGUCUUGGUUACCCGCUCCCGGGCUUUGUGAUUGGUUGGCUGUGGGGGGAGAGGGGGUGGGGGGGAGGGGGGCAGUAGGCUGCUGAUGGAGCUGCGGCAUCCCUUCGGCUGGGGCCCCGGGAGGGGGAAGGGAAAAGACGGAGCAGUGGAGGGAAGAGGGAGCCAUUUCUCUCCACUGGCUGCGACCUCCGUGCUCACAGCUCACAUUUGCCCGGAAUCCCGAGGCCUCCUCGGCCGAGGACUCCAUCAUGCUGGAUAUUUUCAUCCUGAUGUUCUUUGCCAUCAUAGGCCUGGUCAUUCUGUCCUACAUUAUCUAUCUGCUCUAGCUGCGGCCGGGAACCCUCAGAACAGCUCGGGGGGGAAGGAUGGAGCUGACCGGCCGAGCAUCCUGCUUUGCUGACGCACCGGUGGAUUUUUGCUUCUGGUCGUUAUUUCGGCUCCUGGUCUCCACUCCAACCAGAGACCUCUUAGCAGCAGUCCUGCUGCCCAGCAGACCUCUUCCAGAACCUUCCGGAUAUGGCUAACCACUGUGGAGCAAGGGGCUUUUUGAGCCCAGAGGCAGAGGGGCACUCAGCCGGGACGUCAGGAAUUCGUGGGCAAGGCUGGCAGAUGCUGUGUGUGUUUGAGCUGUGGAUAGAAGGUGUUGAGGACACAGAGCUGAAAUGCAGACUCAUGAAAGUCACCACGGAGAACUGCGCACAUAUCCAUUUUGAUAGCCUCUCUCUAGGUGUAAAUGCAACUGCGUAUUAUGCUAAAAUAUGUUCUUUCCUUUCCCUCUCACACACUGGGGGAUAGUUCAAGAGCACAUUGUCUACCCUCAUCUCUGAAGUAUUCAGUUUAUCACUGUCUUUGCAGACUGCACAGCCUGAGGUGGUGUAGUAUCUAUCCCUUGCCUCACUCUUUAGCCAGAAGGAACUCGUCAUUUGAAUUUUUAAGAUUUAUCAUAUUUUUUCCACUCCAUACCACGUGAGCCCCAGCUUCUCAUUUAAAGAGAGAAAUGGUUAUAUAGUCAUUAUUCUUUGAGACUGUCUGAAUUAUAAAUUAUUGAAAUAGGGUAGCUAUAACUCAUCUUGUUAUGUGGGAAAAAUCUCUCUCUCGCCCCAAAAUAAAUGUUUUUUUUUUUUUUUUAUAUUGUCAAAUGUUCCUUUUCUGGAAAAAAGACUUUCAACAUAUUUCUUUGUCCAGUUAGGGUUGAAGAAACUAUAUAUUUUGGAACCCAGAGUAGACUUGGGCCCCAAAUCUGCGGUACCCAUUCCUUUGAAAAGUCCAUCAUGAUGGUUCUACACUGGAUUUUCCUUUCUAGCUUAAAAAUAAACAAGGAGAAAGAUUAA